ACGUGAAACCGUUCAGGGGUAAACCUGAGAAACCCAAAAGAUCGAAUGGGGAGAUUCAUCGUCAACGGUGCCGGCUCCCGUUGGUGCGCGAUGCUCCGAAUGGACCCUUCUGGGCUCCAUUGGCGAGGGCACGCCACCAUCGGCUCGAACGUUCCGGUGCCGUAGUCGUGCACUUCUCCUCUAGUAGAACGUCGCGACCCGUUGUGUGUCGGCCUACGGCCCGAGCGGGUGCCUGUCACGUCGCGUUUCGCGCACGCGGCAGACCCUCGGACGCCUGGCCGGCUGCACGACGGUACUCCCACGGUAUCGGGCCGCAACCAAUCCGAUUCUCGAAUCGUAUGUGCGUCUAGCCCGCCGCAAGCUCGAUCAGUUCUUACCCGGUGGUCGGACCUAGUGCCGUCCCCGGGCCUGAUCAGCUGUUAGCAGGCGGUGUCCUCGGACUGGCCAAGCUUCGAAUUACCGGUCGGCGACGCUACUGCCUUGGGUACUCUCAGGACCCGUCUUGAAACACGGACCAAGGAGUCUAACAUGUGCGCGAGUCAUUGGGAUGCACAAACCUAAAGGCGAAAUGAAAGUGAAGGUCGUCCUUUGCGUCGACCGAGGGAGGAUGGGCCGCGUUACGAGGCGGCCCCGCACUCCCGGGGCGUCUCGUUCUCAUUGCGAGAAGAGGCGCACCCAGAGCGUAACGUUGGG
rnacentral:rRNA from 1 species